GGUUGAUCCUGCCAGUAGUCAUAUGCUUGUCUUGAAGAUUAAGCCAUGCAAGUCUAAGUAUAAGUUUAUUAACGAAACUGCGAAUGGCUCAUUAAAACAGUUAUAAUCUAUAUGAGAUUUGUUGCUACACGGAUAACUGUGGUAAUUCUGGAGCUAAUACGUGCGUUAAACGCUGUUCUCAGCGGCAUUUAUUAGAUUUAAACCUGUAGUCGUAAGGCUGUUCGGUGAUCCAUGAUAAUCAAGUGAAUCGUUAUUUAUAACGAUAGCUCAUCUGAGUUUCUGACCUAUCAG
rnacentral:rRNA from 1 species